GGUGACCAUGAGCGUCACGGAUACCUCAGUUCUUAAAAAAUGAUCAGCCCUGUCGGCCAUUUCGAGGUACGGGGUGGCUUGUUGAAUACACUUUUCCACGGUGGGAUGGUCGGUUUCGUCGCUUCGUCUCAGGAGGGAUUAUGGAAAUUCUGUGGACUCGACCAACCCACCGGAAAAGGUCCCCCCGGCCCGCACCUCUUCUCUCCACCACGGGCUGUGAAGCGUUACAGUGAUGACGCGAAGAUAAAACGUGACCGGCCGCAACAAUAAAGUGUGUCUCCGCGGGGUUAAAUACGUCUGAAAUGAUCAGUGUUACAUAUGUUCACCGAUGUCCCUGUCCCUGAUAACGUAGAAAUCGGUAACUGCGACGAACCACCAUGCAUUGUGCCCAUCAACAGUACCAUUAACAUAGCAAUGAACUUCACGUCACCACGAACAUUAGGCAACAUUUUUCCGAUAGCUAUUGGGGACACUUUCAACUCGGUUAUAAAUUUCCCUCUAGAAGAGGAGGAUGCUUGUGAUGGCAUAGUCAACACAGAGUGUCCUCUGGAAGAGGGCGAAGACGUGGAAUAUAAAUCGCAAAUCUCUGUGUCUUCCGAUUUUGGAGAAAUAUAUUUUUCUCUGGAGUACUACCUUUUCGACAGGGAUGCAGAGAAUUUUUUUGAAUGUUUUAAGGUUGAUAUACAGAUGGUUCUAACAGACUGAGUAACUCCGUUUUACCAUAGUUAACAUUUGUAUGUCAGAACCAAUUAGAGUGUAAGAUAUCAGUGUAAAAAUAACGUAAAGAACAAAUAAAAACUAGUUACAGACAUAGAAAA